rnacentral:lncRNA from 1 species
CUGUAAAAGAGCUCAAUAUGAUAUACUCCCUCCAUUCGAAAUGAUAAGAUAUUUUGAGUUUAUUUAGAUACAUUGGUUUUAUUCAUGCAUAUAUAUAUAUGCAUGAGUAGUUCAAACGGAGGUCGUGCCGUCGUCGAUGGAUCUCUCGUGGCUGGUACGUCCUCGUGGUCAUCGAUCUGGUUUAUUGAUUCAUUUGCAGCAGUCGCAGCUGAGAAAAUUGCACUUGCCGCGGUUGUAGCCCUUGUCUCGGCAGCAGUCGUCGCACUUGUCCGCAUCCAAGCACAAGAAAAUUGGAUGGCCACCGCAACUGUCGUCUGCGAUGCUUUCGCAUGUUUCAGCUCCCACCAGCAUCUUGUUGCCCUCAUCUGCUUCAUUGAAUCGUUGUAUUGUACGUACCCAUGCAUCCAUGCAUCCAUCCGUCCAUGCAUGCAACAAAAUUGUACAUAUAUAGCAAAGUAUAUUAUUGGCUACUACUCGAGAUCAGGAUUUAUUAAAUUCUUGGCCAUGCAUUUAAUUUGACAAAAAUCAUAAGCAGGGUUACCCAUUUUUUUAAUUCUCUCGGAUUUCAGAGAGAGAGAAAAAUUCCGGGCAAAAAUGAAAUGUAUUUUGGAGCAAAUUUAUUUGAAUGGAAAGGAAGUGUGGUAUAUAUAUGAUCAUGUAAUUAACUUGAGAGAAGAGCAACCCCGGGACUUACGAGAUGCGACGAGGACCAUGGCCAACAGGAGGAAAGGGAACAGGAGAUUAUUCUUCGUCGCGGCCAUCGAUCACCUGCUGCUCUUAUGAAAAGCUAGCUAUACCUCUCUCUUCUCCGUAUUGUGAUUUGUGAAUAAUGAGGAGUAUAUCAUAUACAGUAUAUGAGACUAUGAGAGACUCUGGAAAUGCUGGCCGC